rnacentral:rRNA from 1 species
ACACAUGCAAGUCGAGCGGAGAUGAGGUGCUUGCACCUUAUCUUAGCGGCGGACGGGUGAGUAAUGCUUAGGAAUCUGCCUAUUAGUGGGGGACAACAUUCCGAAAGGAAUGCUAAUACCGCAUACGUCCUACGGGAGAAAGCAGGGGAUCUUCGGACCUUGCGCUAAUAGAUGAGCCUAAGUCGGAUUAGCUAGUUGGUGGGGUAAAGGCCUACCAAGGCGACGAUCUGUAGCGGGUCUGAGAGGAUAAUCCGCCACACUGGGACUGAGACACGGCCCAGACUCCUACGGGAGGCAGCAGUGGGGAAUAUUGGACAAUGGGGGGAACCCUGAUCCAGCCAUGCCGCGUGUGUGAAGAAGGCCUUAUGGUUGUAAAGCACUUUAAGCGAGGAGGAGGCUACUGAGACUAAUACUCUUGGAUAGUGGACGUUACUCGCAGAAUAAGCACCGGCUAACUCUGUGCCAGCAGCCGCGGUAAUACAGAGGGUGCGAGCGUUAAUCGGAUUUACUGGGCGUAAAGCGUGUGUAGGCGGCUUUUUAAGUCGGAUGUGAAAUCCCCGAGCUUAACUUGGGAAUUGCAUUCGAUACUGGGAAGCUAGAGUAUGGGAGAGGAUGGUAGAAUUCCAGGUGUAGCGGUGAAAUGCGUAGAGAUCUGGAGGAAUACCGAUGGCGAAGGCAGCCAUCUGGCCUAAUACUGACGCUGAGGUACGAAAGCAUGGGGAGCAAACAGGAUUAGAUACCCUGGUAGUCCAUGCCGUAAACGAUGUCUACUAGCCGUUGGGGCCUUUGAGGCUUUAGUGGCGCAGCUAACGCGAUAAGUAGACCGCCUGGGGAGUACGUCGCAAGACUAAAACUC